ensembl:Y_RNA Y_RNA Y RNA
AGCUGGUCUGAGUGCAGUGGUGUUUACAACUAAUUGUCACAACCAGUUGCAGAUGUCUUUGUUUCAUUUUGUUUUGUUUUGUUUUCUCCACUCCCACUGCUUCACCUGAUUAGCCCUUU